rnacentral:rRNA from 1 species
AAACCAACAUGGAUUGCCUUAGUAACGGCGAGUGAAGCGGCAAAAAGCUCAAAUUUGAAAUCUAGCACUUUCAGUGUUCGAGUUGUAAUUUGAAGAAGGUAACUUUGGAAUUGGCUCUUGUCUAUGUUCCUUGGAACAGGACGUCACAGAGGGUGAGAAUCCCGUGCGAUGAGAUGUCCAAUUCUAUGUAAAGUGCUUUCGAAGAGUCGAGUUGUUUGGGAAUGCAGCUCUAAGUGGGUGGUAAAUUCCAUCUAAAGCUAAAUAUUGGCGAGAGACCGAUAGCGAACAAGUACAGUGAUGGAAAGAUGAAAAGAACUUUGAAAAGAGAGUGAAAAAGUACGUGAAAUUGUUGAAAGGGAAGGGCUUGAGAUCAGACUUGGUAUUUUGUGUUCCUUAUCCUUCGUUGGAUUAGGUUCCUCACAGCUUACCGGGCCAGCAUCGGUUUGGAGUUAGGGUCAAGGUAUAACUGUACGAAUUUGGGAAAUGUUAGCUUUUGGCUUACGGUGUAAGUGUUAUAGUUACG